UGCAAGUCGAACGAUUAAACUUUCCUUCGGGGAAGAUAUAAAGUGGCGCACGGGUGAGUAACACGUAGGUAAUGUACCGUAGGGUGGGGAAUAACGUUCGGAAACGAACGCUAAUACCGCAUAAUGCAGCGGCACCGCGAGGUGACAGUUGUUAAAGGAGCAAUCCGCCUUAUGAGCAGCCUGCGGCAGAUUAGCUAGUUGGUAGGGUAAUGGCUUACCAAGGCUACGAUCUGUAUCCGACCUGAGAGGGUGGUCGGACACACUGACACUGAAUAACGGGUCAGACUCCUACGGGAGGCAGCAGUCGGGAAUUUUGGGCAAUGGGCGAAAGCCUGACCCAGCAACGCCGCGUGAAGGAUGAAGUCUUUCGGGAUGUAAACUUCGUAAGAAUAGGAAGAAUAAAUGACGGUACUAUUUGUAAGGUCCGGCUAACUACGUGCCAGCAGCCGCGGUAAUACGUAGGGACCAAGCGUUGUUCGGAUUUACUGGGCGUAAAGGGCGCGUAGGCGGCGUGGUAAGUCAGCUGUGAAAUCUCCGAGCUUAACUCGGAACGGUCAGCUGAUACUGCUGUGCUAGAGUGCAGAAGGGGCAAUCGGAAUUCUUGGUGUAGCGGUGAAAUGCGUAGAUAUCAAGAGGAACACCUGAGGUGAAGACGGGUUGCUGGGCUGACACUGACGCUGAGGCGCGAAAGCUAGGGUAGCAAACGGGAUUAGAUACCCCGGUAGUCCUAGCCCUAAACGAUGAAUACUUGGUGUCUGGAGUUUUAAUUCUCCGGGUGCCGUCGCUAACGUUUUUAGUAUUCCGCCUGGGGAGUACGCACGCCAGUGUGAAACUCAAAGGAAUUGACGGGGACC
rnacentral:rRNA from 1 species